rnacentral:rRNA from 1 species
GCAAGUCGAGCGCUUCCCUUUCGGGGAGGAGCGGCGGACGGGUUAGUAACGCGUGGGAACAUACCCUUUUCUACGGAAUAGCCUCGGGAAACUGAGAGUAAUACCGUAUACGCCCUUCGGGGGAAAGAUUUAUCGGAGAAGGAUUGGCCCGCGUAAGAUUAGAUAGUUGGUGGGGUAAUGGCCUACCAAGUCUACGAUCUUUAGCUGGUUUGAGAGGAUGAUCAGCAACACUGGGACUGAGACACGGCCCAGACUCCUACGGGAGGCAGCAGUGGGGAAUCUUAGACAAUGGGCGCAAGCCUGAUCUAGCGAUGCCGCGUGAGUGACGAAGGCCUUAGGGUCGUAAAGCUCUUUCACCAGGGAUGAUAAUGACAGUACCUGGAAAAGAAACCCCGGCUAACUCCGUGCCAGCAGCCGCGGUAAUACGGAGGGGGUUAGCGUUGUUCGGAAUUACUGGGCGUAAAGCGCACGUAGGCGGAUUAGUAAGUUAGAGGUGAAAUCCCAGGGCUCAACCCUGGAACUGCCUUUAAUACUGCUAGUCUUGAGUUCGAGAGAGGUAAGUGGAAUUCCGAGUGUAGAGGUGAAAUUCGUAGAUAUUCGGAGGAACACCAGUGGCG